UUUAAUUGAUGACUUGUAUGAAGGAUUGGAUGAAAUAUAAACUGUCUCUUGAUUAAAUAUAGAAUUUAAUUUUUUAAUUAAAAAGUUAAAAUAAUUUAAAAAGACGAGAAGACCCUAUAGAGUUUUAUAAAUAAAUUAAUUAAGAUUAUUUAUUAAAUUAAGAUUGAAAUUGGAGUAUUUAUUAUAUUGGGGUGAUAGAAAAAUAUGAUUAACUUUUUUUAUGAAUAUAACAUAUAUAAGUGGUUAAAUGAUCCAAUAUUAUUGAUUAUAAGAAAAAAUUACCUUAGGGAUAACAGCGUAAUUUUUUUUUUUAGUUCAUAUAAGAAAAAGAGUUUGCGACCUCGAUGUUGGAUUAAGAUAAAAUUUAAAUGCAGAAG
rnacentral:rRNA from 1 species